UUCAGGCUGCUUUAGAGAGCAGAGAGAAGUGGUCCAGCCUAAGAGGGGAGAGGGGAUGCUGGAGAGCUGCUAUUGUUGUGCCCCGUGCCUCAGCUUCCUGGUCAAACUGCUGGAUAGAAGAGAGAAUGAGAGACUUAAGGAUUAGCACCUCUUUCCCCCUCUUUCUUUUUUAUUUCGUUCAUUCUCUGUCUGUUUGUCUCCAUCUCCCUGUUUUCCUCUGUGUGGGGGCUAAAUUGUGGUUUAGGUAAGCUGAACAAAUUGCUGCAUGGUUUUCAUUGUGUCCAUCCUGUUAGUUUGUCCAGGAUUUAUUUUGUCUUGGAAUAUUAGGUAUAGCAGUAUAGUACUGUAGGGUGAUUUCCCAAUUUCUGUUUAAAAAAAAUAUUUUUAGGGCGUUUUCUUUCAGGUCCAACCAAGACUGGAUUGUAAUGAUCUAUUUUUUAUCUUUAAAUUGUUUGCUUUGAUUAUUUCAUUGGAAAACUGCCAAAAUGCUUUCCUUUUUCCAUCGUUAGUUCUGGUAUGACUUUCAUCCAGGUAGUCAAGCAUAAUGCCAUUCACAGACAUACCAUUUUUUAAGGUUUGAAGGGUGAAGUCGGGAAUAACAGUUUCUUAAUAUAUCUGGAGGUUAUUGAGGUGCAGAUGAAGUAUUUUCCUUUUACAAAACGAUCCAUGAAGUAAUUGUAGAUCUUGAUUAGAUUAUUUUUUUUAAACAUCAAAUCAAUGGAAUGAUUUUGGAUAGGCUUAGUUGGAGCCUGUUAUUUGCAUUCAUGUGAGCAAAUCAAUUAGAAUGGGGUUGGAAUUAAAUAGCUUUGACUUAUCAUACAUUAUUUAUUUCUUCAUAGCGGCAUUUAAUUAUAACUUUAAUUUGGAAAAUUAUCUUCAAAAAUUCAGGACCUUUGGUGAAUUAACAUUUCACUACAACACACCUCACAUUUUAUAUCAACAACACAUUUCAAAAUGGAUUUUAUUCAGAAUCAUUUAAAAAAUGAGAUUAUUUAGAUUCUGGUAAAUUUGUGCAGAUUACAUUUUCCAAUACAAAGAUAUAAUUUAAUUGAUUAUGUUAAAUAUAGGAAUAGUUGGUGUAUGUUUUGGAAUAAAAUCUCAAGUGACUCUUGUUGUCUCUGUUAGUCUGACAUUCAGGACAAAAUUAUCUUCAAAUAAUCCCAUUUUAUACCUGCCUCCUGGUAUUCUCUCAGUUUGUUUGAUUUGACCAGAUUCUUUAGGAGGAGGGGGUUGGGUUGACCGUGGGAUGUUAAUGGGAUGUACUAGGGCUAUGGUAUUAUGUAUGGUUUAAAAGGCCAUGGGUGGUUGUGGUUGUGUCCCUUAACCUCUACAUCUCUGUGUUUCCAGGAGGUUUCAUUAUGUGUGGAUAUGCUGGUGUAGAGUGAGAGCAAAAGAGAGAGAGCAGGACAGGGCUAAAAUGGGAAUCUCCUUCUCCUUAUGGAUCGCUCCUGGAGGACAGGACCACCAGGACUUCCAAGGAGGGCAGGGCUUCAGACCACCUCUAGCCCAGAAAAACCUUUGACGGGGCCUUGUGUUGUGCUUCAAGGCGUCUUCAAUCAAUUAUGUUGAUACAGUGUCUCUCUCUGUGUUGCUUGCCAUUGGGACCGACUGAGGAACUUGAUGAUGCGGUCACGCUUGCUUGCGAUUCCUAUUAUUGCCUCUCUGUGUUAAAGAUUCUCUUCGGUGACGGGUAUUCUUGGGUGUAUAAUACGGAUCACGUUGUUAUUGCUUAAGAAUACGCGUAGUCGAGGAGAGUCCUCCUCUUCUUCUUCGUCUGCCUUCGUCUGCAGCUGAGGACUAUUGAUCAGAUCGAAGCAGCUCAAAGUACCCCCCCUACCUGUUUCCUUUUAAUACUGAGGAGUUGUGGCUGGCACACAGAAACACAAAUCUUAGAGACUGACUGACAUCCAGGCCCAUUUAUCAAGCAAGCAGACAGAGCACUGCCGGCUGCCUAUCUGUUUCAGUGAUGAUUGUGCUGUCCAGUCUUGAGAUAGUGUCAACCAACCACUCUCGUCUGCGUUUUUUUCCCCCUCACCCUUUUUCACAGAUCUUUUUUUUUAUACCGUGUUAUUGUCGUUUUGUCCCAGAUGUUUCAGAUGUCACAUGUUUAUUUGACCAUUAUCAUGUCCAGUAUAUGAAAGUGUAUUUGCAUAUAUUCAUGCUGCAUUAUGUAUUUGUAUUGUGUGGUAGAAAUGCUACAGUGAGUGUGUAUUUCAUAGGCUUCUGAUACAACAGGAUAGUGUUGUUGUGCAGUGAUAGCAGAGGUUAGGCUGCAUGGCCCUGGCCCUCUCUCAUGCAAAUCUCUCCAGUCUAUUUAUUAUCAGUCCUCCAGACCAAGCACUCUUUUCCUCCUUUUCCUUUUUUAUGCAAAUUGAUUUCGAAAUGACAUUUAUCGCGUUGGGUUUUCCACACGAAAGAGCUGCCACACCGGGGCCCAGACAACAAAAUGUCCACCGCUCUAGUGAGAGCUCAAUUUAUGCAUUGGAGGAGAGUGGGUCUAGAUAACAAUUACCACAGGCUCAAAUGGACUAUAACCGAGUUAUCAUAUGUAUAGUAUAUUCCAUGAAUAUGUAUCAGUCAGUCUCCCUGGUCAGAUGCGUGGUGCAUUCUGAACCCUAACACCCAUGUAAAAUCCAUUUAAACACCAUAAUAGGAACAUCUUAACUUAUAGAGCCACACUCAAGAUUCCCCCCCAGAAAAAAAUCAUUGUAUGCUUAUUUAUACAAGGCAUAAAAAACCAAAUGUAUGGUAUUUAUAUUUAAAAUGUUUCAGCUUUUUAUUUUUUUUAUUUUGUACAAGUAUUCUUUGUCUUUUAGGAAUUGACAAGAAAAAAAAAAAUCAACAG